rnacentral:rRNA from 1 species
UACGUAGGGGGCUAGCGUUGUCCGGAGUCAUUGGGCGUAAAGAGCGCGCAGGCGGUCAUUCAAGUCGAGUGUGAAAGCCCCCGGCUCAACUGGGGAGGGUCACUUGAUACUGUUUGACUCGAAGGCGGGAGAGGGAAGUGGAAUUCCCGGUGUAGUGGUGAAAUGCGUAGAUAUCUGGAGGAAUACCGGUGGCGAAGGCGGCAUCCUGGACCGGCAUUGACGCUGAGGAGCGAAAGCCAGGGGAGCAAACGGG